GAACCCUAAAGCUCAAUGGAAAAUCCAUCACAAGUUAUUGGAGCUUAUGGCAAUGCGUCUAUGUCUCUCUCUUUAUCUGCCAUCAAGAGUUUAACGGGAACCAAUUAUGAGGAUUGAUAUGAGGCUCUCACCAUUAAUUUGGCUAUCAUGAAUUUGGAUUUAGCUUUAAGGGUCGAUGCGCCUGUUGAAAAGACUCGUUAUAAGCAGUGGGUGAAUUCUAAUAGGACUUGACUCAUGAUUAUGAAGUAUACUAUUGACAAGUCUAUCAGGCAGAGCAUAACUGAUACAGAUAGUGCUAAAGAAUAUCUUGAUGACGUUGGGAAGAAAUUUACUAAGUUUGAUAAGGCAGAAAAGGAAACUCUAAUGAAACUUCUUACUACCACAACCUGUGAUGGGGUUAGUGGAGUCUGAGAGCGCAUCAUGAAGCUUGCUAAUUUCUUUAACAAACUCAAAGGAAUGAAAGUUGAGUUAGUAUAUAGCUUUCUUGUAUGACAAGUGUUUGAAUCUUUUCCAUCUCAGUUUGAUGCACUCAAGACCACUUAUAAUGCUCAGAAAGACGAAUGGAGCUUGAGUGAAAUGACUGCUAUUGUAAUUCAAGAAGAGCAGAUGAUGAAAAAGGCCAAGUCUCAUGUUGCUUUCAUGGUAAUUGUUGAUAAAGGAAAGAAGUUAUUCAAAGGUAAUAGUAGCAACUCCUGUAAGAUGAAGAAAUCUGGGAGACCUCCUCAACAAGUUAGUGUAAGUGUUCCAAAUGGGCCUAAGAAAGAAGUUUUAAGGGAAGGUGCAACUUCUGUCAUUUGUUUGGGCAUAAGCAGGUUGAUUGUAGGAGAUUUAAGACUUGAUUAGACAAGAAAGGUACACGUUCAUUACUAGUGUGUUUGAGUCUAAUCUAGUCGAUGUGCCUUCUGAUACUUGGUGGCUAGAUACUGGUGCAACCAUUCACACUACAAAUUCUUUACAGAAAUUAAGGAACCACAGAAGACCAACUGAUAUAGAGUUGGUUGUAAAUAUGGGCAAUGGUGUGAAGGUUAAAGUUGAACAUAUUGGUGUUGUCAAACUUAUUUUGGCUUUUAAGCAUGUUUUGAACUUGUCUGAUACUGCUUUUAUACCUUCCAUUAGAAGAAAUCUUAUCUUUGUUUCUAUUUUGGACAAAUGUGCUUAUGUUUUUCAUUUUGAAAAUGGAAAGGCUACAAUCUUUUAUGA